UGGUGGCACCAACCGGUACCAAAGGGGGGCAUUCGUACCGGUUUGUGCCACCAACCGGUACGAAUGCCCCCUUUGGUAUCGGUUGGUGCCACCAA
rnacentral:pre_miRNA from 1 species